UACGAAGGGUGCAAGCGUUACUCGGAAUUACUGGGCGUAAAGCGUGCGUAGGCGGUUCGUUAAGUCUGAUGUGAAAGCCCUGGGCUCAACCUGGGAAUGGCAUUGGAUACUGGCGACCUAGAGUGCGGUAGAGGGGUGUGGAAUUCCCGGUGUAGCAGUGAAAUGCGUAGAUAUCGGGAGGAACAUCUGUGGCGAAGGCGACACCCUGGACCAGCACUGACACUGAGGCACGAAAGCGUGGGGAGCAAACAGG
rnacentral:rRNA from 1 species